rnacentral:rRNA from 1 species
UACGAAGGGUGCAAGCGUUACUCGGAAUUACUGGGCGUAAAGGGCGCGUAGGCGGUCAUGUAAGUUGGAUGUGAAAUCCCUGGGCUUAACCUAGGAACUGCAUCCAAGACUGUGUGACUAGAGUGCUGUAGAGGGUAGUGGAAUUUCCGGUGUAGCGGUGAAAUGCGUAGAUAUCGGAAGGAACACCAGUGGCGAGGGCGGCUACCUGGACAGACACUGACGCUGAGGCGCGAAAGCGUGGGGAGCAAACAGG